rnacentral:rRNA from 1 species
GCGAGGUAGAGCAAAUCUCAAAAAAACAAUCUCAGUUCAGACUGCAGGCUGCAACUCGCCUGCACGAAGUCGGAAUUGCUAGUAAUCGUAGGUCAGCAUACUACGGUGAAUACGUUCCCGGGCCUUGUACACACCGCCCGUCAAACCAUGAGAGUUGGCAACACCCGAAGUCGGUAGUCUAACCGCAAGGAGGACGCCGCCGAAGGUGGGGUUGAUGAUUAGGGUUAAGUCGUAACAAGGUAGC